rnacentral:rRNA from 1 species
UACAGGAGGGGCAAGCGUUAUUCGGAAUUAUUGGGCGUAAAGGGCGCGUAGGCGGCUUGGCAAGUGGAUGGUGAAAAUCCCUCGGCUUAACCGAGGAACUGCCGUCCAAAACUGCGUUCGCUUGAGACCGGGAGAGGUGGAGUGGAAUUCCCAGUGUAGCGGUAGAAAUGCGUAGAUAUUGGAGGAACGACCAGUCGGCGGAAGGCGAGCUC